UACGGGGGGGGUAAGCGUUGUUCGGAAUUACUGGGCGUAAAGGGCUCGUAGGCGGCCAACUAAGUCAGACGUGAAAUCCCUCAGCUUAACUGGGAACUGCGUCUGAUACUGGAUGGCUUGAGUUCGGGAGAGGGAUGCGGAAUUCCAGGUGUAGCGGUGAAAUGCGUAGAUAUCUGGAGGAACACCGGUGGCGAAGGCGGCAUCCUGGACCGACACUGACGCUGAGGAGCGAAAGCCAGGGGAGCAAACGGGG
rnacentral:rRNA from 1 species